rnacentral:rRNA from 1 species
GGCGUAAAGAGCUCGUAGGCGGUUUGUCGCGUCUGCUGUGAAAUCCCGAGGCUCAACCUCGGGCCUGCAGUGGGUACGGGCAGACUAGAGUGCGGUAGGGGAGAUUGGAAUUCCUGGUGUAGCGGUGGAAUGCGCAGAUAUCAGGAGGAACACCGAUGGCGAAGGCAGAUCUCUGGGCCGUAACUGACGCUGAGGAGCGAAAGGGUGGGGAGCAAACAGGCUUAGAUACCCUGGUAGUCCACCCCGUAAACGUUGGGAACUAGUUGUGGGGACCAUUCCACGGUUUCCGUGACGCAGCUAACGCAUUAAGUUCCCCGCCUGGGGAGUACGGCCGCAAGGCUAAAACUCAAAGGAAUUGACGGGGACCCGCACAAGCGGCGGAGCAUGCGGAUUAAUUCGAUGCAACGCGAAGAACCUUACCAAGGCUUGACAUAUACGAGAACGGGCCAGAAAUGGUCAACUCUUUGGACACUCGUAAACAGGUGGUGCAUGGUUGUCGUCAGCUCGUGUCGUGAGAUGUUGGGUUAAGUCCCGCAACGAGCGCAACCCUCGUUCUAUGUUGCCAGCACGUAAUGGUGGGAACUCAUGGGAUACUGCCGGGGUCAACUCGGAGGAAGGUGGGGAUGACGUCAAAUCAUCAUGCCCCUUAUGUCUUGGGCUUCACGCAUGCUACAAUGGCCGGUACAAAGGGCUGCAAUACCGUGAGGUGGAGCGAAUCCCAAAAAGCCGGUCCCAGUUCGGAUUGAGGUCUGCAACUCGACCUCAUGAAGUCGGAGUCGCUAGUAAUCGCAGAUCAGCAACGCUGCGGUGAAUACGUUCCCGGGUCUUGUACACACCGCCCGUCAAGUCAUGAAAGUCGGUAACACCUGAAGCCGGUGGCCCA